UACGUAGGGUGCGAGCGUUGUCCGGAAUUAUUGGGCGUAAAGAGCUCGUAGGCGGUCUGUCGCGUCGGUCGUGAAAACUUGGGGCUUAACCCUGAGCUUGCGGUCGAUACGGGCAUGACUGGAGUUCGGCAGGGGAGACUGGAAUUCCUGGUGUAGCGGUGAAAUGCGUAGAUAUCAAGAGGAACACCUGAGGUGAAGACGGGUUGCUGGGCUGACACUGACGCUGAGGCGCGAAAGCUAGGGUAGCAAACGGG
rnacentral:rRNA from 1 species